rnacentral:tRNA from 1 species
GGGCGAUUAGCUCAGUGGUAGAGCACCGCUUUCACACGGCGGGGGCCGCAGGUUCGAACCCUGCAUCGCCCACCA